rnacentral:rRNA from 1 species
AGGUGCGAUCAUACCAUCACUAAUAUACCGGAUCCCAUCAGAACUCCGCAGUUAAGCGUGCUUGGGCGAGAGUAGUACUAGGAUGGGUGACCUCUUAGGAAGUCCUCGUGUUGCACCUC